rnacentral:rRNA from 1 species
AUUGAACGCUGGCGGCAUGCCUAACACAUGCAAGUCGAACGGUAACGCGGAGAGCUUGCUCUCUGGCGACGAGUGGCGGACGGGUGAGUAAUACUUAGGAAUCUGCCCAGUAGUGGGGGACAACUCGGGGAAACUCGAGCUAAUACCGCAUACGCACUACGGUGGAAAGUGGGGGACCUUCGGGCCUCACGCUAUUGGAUGAGCCUAAGUCGGAUUAGCUUGUUGGUAGGGUAAUGGCCUACCAAGGCGACGAUCCGUAGCUGGUCUGAGAGGACGAUCAGCCACACUGGGACUGAGACACGGCCCAGACUCCUACGGGAGGCAGCAGUGGGGAAUAUUGGACAAUGGGCGCAAGCCUGAUCCAGCAAUGCCGCGUGUGUGAAGAAGGCCUGCGGGUUGUAAAGCACUUUCAGUAGAGAAGAAAAGCUUACGGUUAAUACCUGUGAGUCUUGACGUAACCUACAGAAGAAGCACCGGCUAACUCCGUG